GCAUUAGUAGCUCAGACUUCAGAGCGCCGGUCUUGUAAGCCGGAGGCCGAAGGUUAAAAUCCUUCCUAACGCU
rnacentral:tRNA from 1 species